CAUAGUUUUUUACUUUCUAUUAAGCUGAUAAAUGUUUGUUUUGUCUAGUUUCUCCUUUGCUAUGUCUGUUCUCACAUUUAGCAUGCUUCAUAGCAUAACAUGUUUAAAAACCUCUUUGAGUGAAAUACACGAGAAGUUCUGAGAAAAUGCUUUGAUCUGCAUGUGUCUCUUACAGAAGCUGUGAGUGAAGACAGAGGAAGUCUGGGAAGAGUGAAGCUUAGCUCAGUAUUAAUACUAAGGAAAGGCAAACAGGGAUUGCAAUCAGCUUGGACCAUAAUCAAAAAUCAACGUCUAGGCAAGUCAGCCAUCACACACACACACACACACACACACACACACACACAGAAUAUAAGCUGUCACUGAGCCAGCCAAAUUCAUAGAGUACAGUCAGAGCAAUGCUCUAUACUUGGCCACUGGCUCACUGCAUUCCCUACAUUCAUCUAAGAAAAAAGUGUGGGAGAGAGAGUGAACUGGGUGUGUAUAGCAAUUUGAAGAAAACACAGAAAACAAUAUAAUACUAAAACCAAAAAGACACUCAGAAAUUCAUUAUUUUCUAUCCACACCAACACAUUAUCGUUUAUAUCACCUAUAAAUAUCAUAUGUCAUAAAACACCCUUAUAUCUCCUGUAACUAAUCUAGUACAUAUGCUAUAUCUAACCUAAAUCUCUCUUGUAUCCCCCGAGGAAUCAAAGCAUCUGCCACAAGAAGAAUGAAAGUGAUGACAGAUUCUGCAGGGAGAGACAUGAAUACCUUCUGCACAGAUCUGAAGGCACUGUUGAGCUAUCAGCAGUAAAACAACAAUCUCUGAGAUUUUCUGAGAAGUCAGCAAUAAUAAAUAUUCAAAAAAAUAUUCAGUACGAUCAUUAGAAAGAGAAGGAUUCCAGCGCUGCAAGUCUGUGUGUAUGAGCAUUUGCGUUUGACUAAAUGUUUGGGAGAUUAUUCUGAAGGAGAGAACAUAUCUCUCAUAUCUACACAUACACACAACAUUUUCCAUGAACACACAGUUUGCUGGGCUUUCUAGUUUGCCACCGUACUAUUUGAGGUAUCUGUACCCUCUAUCAGCUCUGCUACAUACCAGGAUUAUGUGUUUGUGUGUUUAACAGAUGUAAUGGAGAGCGUGUGUGUGCAAAGCAGCGGUUCUCAGCUGGUGGGCUGUGA